rnacentral:rRNA from 1 species
CGGCGGACGGGUGAGUAACGCGUGGGUAACCUACCCUGUACACACGGAUAACAUACCGAAAGGUAUGCUAAUACAGGAUAAUAUAUUUGAGAGGCAUCUCUUGAAUAUCAAAGGUGAGCCAGUACAGGAUGGACCCGCGUCUGAUUAGCUAGUUGGUAAGGUAACGGCUUACCAAGGCGACGAUCAGUAGCCGACCUGAGAGGGUGAUCGGCCACAUUGGAACUGGGACACGGUCCAA